CUGUGCUCUGCCAGACAGCAACUCAGUUGUCUUCUUACGGCCAGUGGCGCCCCUGAUGAGAACAGCAAAGUGUGUUUCUUCUAGUCCGUGUUCUAUUCCAAGUGGUUUGUUUCUGCUUAAUUUGUGCUUCCUUACAAGUGAAUGAGAGCUUAAUUCUGCAGAGAAAAGAAGGGCCUGACAAACAGUGACUGCUGAGGGGCAGUCAAGUCUCCCCCUGCUACUGUGUUCAUUGAAAAAUACAUCACAUGGAAAACACACCGAGGUCUGCUGGCCUGGCUUUAUGAAGUAGCUGUGUGCAGUGAAUGUUCCUGGCUGUGGCUGCGGUGAAGUUCAUCAAAGUGAAGAUCAGCAUCUGCCAUGUACUUUUGCCAUACUGAUUCUACACAAGCAUAUAGCCAAGCGAAUAUGAGCUCAGCCUUCUAAAACUAGGCCUGGAGUCAAUAGUGGUGAAGAUGACAUAACAACAGACAGUCACAGAGCCUUGGCGGCCGAAGCAGGAAGCUGAGCGCUCACAUCUCAACCAUCCACAGGAAGCGACGAAAAUGCCAGCAGAUCAGGAUGCUCUCAACCACUUCUCCCAUGCAAUGUGUGCUGCAAUGCUCCCCACCAUGAUGC